AUUCAUUAAUGAGAACUCAAGGAAAGAGAGGAAUGGGGCUCAGCGCAUGGAGUGCGUGAAAACGGGAGUCAGGGUCUCCAGCCCCUAUUCCAAUACUCAGGGCAAAGACUGGCUCACAGUCUUUGUGUCCUGGACCCACCCCCUUGGCUGCAGCUGCCGUGUGGUGAUUGCUCUGAACUCCCUACCUGUUCAGCUACUGGCCGCCUGUGGAAUGGGUG